UGUUUUCAGUGAUUUGGAAACGGUAAAGUGACCCUUAAGUAAAAAUCUUUUAAUUAAAGCAAACAAAGGAUCAGCUUUACCGGAAAGCAGUCAGUCAGCAAGUUCUCGUUCUUGACAUCCAGAGGACGCUUGUGCAGAGAGCUGAAGAGAGAAGCCAGGGCCGAUAUUGGAAGAUGGUCGCCCCCAGCACCCGUGGCCUCCGCCUUCACUUGGACUCUUUCAUUGAUGCUUGUUUGUACAAAAAUGAGUUGUCUUGGACCUCUGACCUCACUUGAAGAUGCCUUUCUUUUGGAUCUGCCCUAUAUAUUGACCCACAAGUUCAAGACCUGA
rnacentral:lncRNA from 1 species